AAUCACUUCCUCUUAUCGUACAAAGGAAUAAGUUUGCUCUCUUUCCCUACUUUGAAUCUAUGACUCCAUAAGGCGUUCAUUAAACUGGAAGUUGAUUCUAUCAGUUGAAAUUGCAUCUAGUUUCUUUCUUAGAGCUCUAACUCUAUGACCCAUCUUGAGACGAUAUGAGAGCUGGUUUGAUUUCAAGAAGAAUACGCACCUUUUUUGACAUUUCAUUUCCCUUCAUUGCCUUUUGCUGCAAAACUUCAGUGGAGAAAUCAUCUAGCAAGUUGUCCACGUCAUCAACUGCAUCUUUUAGCUGCUUGAGCCAGACCGUGACCUCUUGUUUGUUGCUGUUGUGCUACUCCUCUGCAUAGAGAAGGACAACUUUGAUAAUGGAAACAGUUCUUUCGAGCUUGGUGAGUUCAAAUUUUACAUUACUGGCCAAGCUAAGCUCUCGAAGAGCUAAAGGUCUCAGACCUUCCAGGACUUUUCCAGCAAUGUCAAACAAAACUCCUUCAACCAUUUUUUUUUGUCUGUUUGAAAGAUAAUUGUAAGAGUUUUUGAAAGAAGGAAAAUCUCUUGACUUGUGAAUCAUGAUCACGUACCACUGCCAAUUUAUAUAAAUGGAGAAGAGGAAGUACAUAGCCAAUGUGACUCUAUAGGACGAUCACUAAAUUGGAAUUUGAUUCUUUUCUUAGGGUGGAGAAGAAUAUGUUUUUUAAAACCAAAGCAUGAAGAAGAUGCUAACUUAUUAAGGUGGAGAAGAAUAUGAUUCCUAA
rnacentral:lncRNA from 1 species